GCACAAGCAGUGGAGUAUGUGGUUUAAUUCGACGCAACGCGAAGAACCUUACCAAGUCUUGACAUCCCUUGACGAUGCUGGAAACAGCAUUUCUCUUCGGAGCAAGGAGACAGGUGGUGCAUGGUUGUCGUCAGCUCGUGUCGUGAGAUGUUGGGUUAAGUCCCGCAACGAGCGCAACCCUUAUGGUCAGUUACUACGCAAGAGGACUCUGGCCAGACUGCCGUUGAUAAAA
rnacentral:rRNA from 1 species